rnacentral:rRNA from 1 species
UGGGGAAUUUUGGACAAUGGGCGAAAGCCUGAUCCAGCAAUGCCGCGUGUGUGAAGAAGGCCUUCGGGUUGUAAAGCACUUUUGUCCGGAAAGAAAUCCUUGGCUCUAAUACAGUCGGGGGAUGACGGUACCGGAAGAAUAAGCACCGGCUAACUACGUGCCAGCAGCCGCGGUAAUACGUAGGGUGCAAGCGUUAAUCGGAAUUACUGGGCGUAAGCGUGCGCAGGCGGUUUGCUAAGACCGAUGUGAAAUCCCGGGCUCAACCUGGGAACUGCAUUGGUGACUGGCAGGCUAGAGUAUGGCAGAGGGGGGUAGAAUUCCACGUGUAGCAGUGAAAUGCGUAGAGAUGUGGAGGAAUACCGAUGGCGAAGGCAGCCCCCUGGGCCAAUACUGACGCUCAUGCACGAAAGCGUGGGGAGCAAACAGGAUUAGAUACCCUGGUAGUCCACGCCCUAAACGAUGUCAACUAGUUGUUGGGGAUUCAUUUCCUUAGUAACGUAGCUAACGCGUGAAGUUGACCGCCUGGGGAGUACGGUCG